ensembl:lncRNA LINC02696 long intergenic non-protein coding RNA 2696
ACGUCAUUUCCCCCUCUGUUGCCCUAGCGCCCCUUGGAAGCCAAGAAUAUGAGGAAGUCUUCUUCCUUCGCGCCUUCUUCUUCCUUACGCUCCAGGGCAGCCUGACAGAGCCGCUCGAAGGCUCUGCUGGCCGCGGCUAGCCGGUUUACCCAUUCCACUGGACCCAGCCACCACCCACUCCUGCUGUCUGGGUGCAGCAGAAGUCUCAGGUAGCUGAGAAGUUCAUGGAAUCUUCUUAUUUGCUACACCUUUCACUACUGCUUGUGAUAUAGUGCAGGGUUGGGAUGUGCAGACAUUUCUCAAGUGCACUGUGUACCUACACAGCAUGCUGCAAUUUGGCUACUGAAGUCAAGAGAAACUGGUUUGAACAACUACUGAGUGUAACAUAGGAAGCGCAUUUCAUUUGAUAACAGGAACACAGCUUUUGUGCUAAUAAAAUGCUUUGAAAAUUAGUGUGUGGUCUUUAGUAAUUAGCAUAUACAUUUUAGUUAUCCAUUGGUUCAUAACAAACGGACUAAAUAGGUACCCCACUGAGUCAUUUAUCUAAAUGAAAAGUUUGGUUAAAUUGUAGUUGUAGGCAUUGAUCAAAGCUAAUGGGAAAAAGAGAUUAAGAUGAAAAUCAUGGGAUUAAAUUUUUAAUUAGUUUGCCCCUUGGACCGUUGCUUGGUAUGACAUGGAGAUUGAUUGGCUACUUAUGCCUGCCUGGGAAGAUAUGGCUCUGCUACCAAACCUCUGAACGUAAGAGUGUUUUGCAAAAAAACUGAAUAUUUUAUUCAGUAAUUUUUCACUUUAUUCCUGCUUAACAAGGAAUUGAAAAGGAAGGCAAGGUCUUGGAUCUCAUAGUUCUUGGUAUAGUGAUAGAUAUAAAGUAUGAGAUGGGGGCUUCAGUGGGUUCAUUAAUAAAUAUCUCAAAUUAACAUGUCUAAGUCAAACUCUUCCUUUCCUGCCCCCAAUCUCUUCCUCUCCCAGGGCUCCUUAUGUCAACUAAUGGUGCCAUCAUUAGUGC